rfam:Schistosoma margrebowiei strain Zambia genome assembly, scaffold: SMRZ_contig0002424
AUCCAGAUGACGAGUCCCAGAGUGAACGAAACGUGAGUCCUGGAU